rnacentral:rRNA from 1 species
GACGAACGCUGGCGGCGUGCUUAACACAUGCAAGUCGAACGGAAAGGCCCCUUUGGGGGUACUCGAGUGGCGAACGGGUGAGUAACACGUGAGUAACCUGCCCUUGACUUCGGGAUAACUUCAGGAAACUGGGGCUAAUACCGGAUAGGAAUCCUUUCUGCAUGGUGGGGGUUGGAAAGCUUCGGCGGGUUUGGAUGGACUCGCGGCUUAUCAGCUUGUUGGUGGGGGAGGGGCUUACCAAGGCGUUGACGGGUAGCCGGCCUGGGUGGGCGACCGGCCACAGGGGGACGGAGAGACGGCUCGGACUCAAACGGGAGGCAGCAGUGGGGAAUAUGGCACAAGGGGCGGAGGCCUGAGGCAGAAACGCCGCGGGCGGGAGGAGGGCGUUCGGGGUGGAAACCGCUGUAGCCGGGGCUAAAGCGGGGGUGACGGUAAUGGGUAAAGAAGCACCGGCUAACUACGUG